GGGCGAAGCCUGAAUCCAGCCAUGGCCGCGGUGAUGGUGAAGAAGGUCUUCGGAUUGUAAAGCACUUUAAGUUGGGAGGAAGGGCAGUUACCUAAUACGUGAUUGUUUUGACGUUACCGACAGAAUAAGCACCGGCUAACUCUGUGCCAGCAGCCGCGGUAAUAA
rnacentral:rRNA from 1 species